CCACUUUGAUUUGAUCAAUUUGGGCGUGUCUAUUAAUUAGAGGACUUUUGAUUUUCAUAUGAGAUAUCUCUUAGGUACAAAAGAGGGUGUCUAAUUAUGUGUGCAAGGGCUCCAAUAGUUGGCACCUAAUGAGUUUCCGAAUGUAAGUUGGAUAACUUAAGUUACUAGGAAUCCUAAUGCAAGUAGGACCUAUAUUAUAUGAUUGAAUAGGAUUCAAACUUUGUGUCUAUAAAAAGGGACCUCCCCUA
rnacentral:lncRNA from 1 species